GAGCUUAUAGGGUGGGUGAUCCUUUGGGAAUUCUCACUGUUUCUCCGUUCACGAGUCGUUCUUAUACCGGGCCGUGAUGUACGAAGUUAGUGUGAAGAACUGAAGCUGUGCUUCAGCGGAGAAAGCCCGGUCCUGUGGGAGUCGCUGGACAUUGAAUGGCCCAAUGCGACAGAAUGCGUGGCUGCUGGGAAUCUCGUGUGUGACAUGAAGUGAGGCGGUGUAUCCGUGGCAGUGUGGCGACUACCCACUUGCAUGAAGGCACACCGGGCUGGUAGGUCAACAAGAGCUCUGCGUUGUUGCUGCUGUUGUUCUUGGAGUUCUUGUUGGGGGUCGACUUUUGAAAUGUGCAUCCAUUGGUCGGACAGCUACCGGAUCAUUCCUACAUUGGUCGCUUGACUCCACCCACUAUGCGUGUUUUACAGGUAAUGCUGCGGGUGAAGACGGAAAGUGCUUGUGGCUGAAAAAGGGAAAGAUGGCAGAAGGAUGGAUCCGGCAGAGUUUAAUCUCCGAUGUCAGCAGAAAACAGAAGUCAGACCGCUGUCCUUGAAGGAAAACAGAGCCCAUGCGAUGUCUCCCAGAUUCCCCAAGACAGUGCAGCAGUUUCAUGCUUUCUCCCACUUCCC
rnacentral:lncRNA from 1 species